rnacentral:lncRNA from 1 species
GUUGACUCUCCCGAAACUUCUCCCACCUCUUGCGUCACGUCCUUUGUUUUGGCCCUAAUCUGCAGGCUAAUCUAGAGAGAAAGUAGGCAGUGGAUGCUAGAUCUUCUUCUGUCAUAUAUGCAGUUACAAAUAAUUCAUGGAAAGUAAUAGGAAUUAGACUAGCAGAGUCUUCAACCGGUUCAAAUCGAGUUCUUUGGUUACAGGUUUGGGUUCGGUGGAUCUAUGCAAUCCCAAAUGCAGCUGCCACAUUUUGACGGUGGUUUUGGUAGGAUUCAUGAAAAUGGUGGUUUAGACAGCUGAGGAGAUUGUGUGACUGAGGGCAAAAAGUCAAAGCUGUGUUCGUGGUAGUUGGAGCUAUCUAUUUUGUGUCUGUUUUCUUGGUUCUAUUUCUUCUUCCUUUUUCAAUUUUGUAGAAAAUUGAUUAAUAACGAAGGCCUCGAUUUUUUUUUAUUUUUUACAAGGAACCAUUUCUUGGAAGCAAGUUUAGU